AACGAACGCUGGCGGCGCGCCUAACACAUGCAAGUCGUACGCGAAAGUAGGCUUCGGUCUGCGAGUAGAGUGGCGAACGGGUGAGUAACACGUGGGUAACCUGCCCUCGAGACUGGGAUAACCAGGGGAAACUCUGGCUAAUACCGGAUACGUCGCGGAGAGCUCCGGCUCACCGCGGGAAAGGUGGCCUCUUCUUGAAAGCUACCGCUCUUGGAUGGGCCCGCGGACCAUUAGCUUGUUGGUGGGGUAACGGCUCACCAAGGCUGUGAUGGUUAGCUGGUCUGAGAGGAUGAUCAGCCACACUGGGACUGACACACGGCCCAGACUCCUACGGGAGGCAGCAGUGGGGAAUCUUGCGCAAUGGGGGAAACCCUGACGCAGCGACGCCGCGUGGGUGAUGAAGGAUCUUGGUUCGUAAAGCCCUGUCAGGUGUGAAGAAUCCCCCCGGGGCGAACAGCCUCGGGGGAUGACGGUAGCACCUGAGGAAGCACCGGCUAACUCCGUGCCAGCAGCCGCAGUAACAC
rnacentral:rRNA from 1 species